AAAAGCGGAGGAAAAGAAACCAACAGGGAUUGCCCCAGUAACGGCGAGUGAAGCGGCAAGAGCUCAAAUUUGAAAGCUGGCUCCUUCGGGGUCCGCAUUGUAAUUUGCAGAGGAUGCUUCGGGAGCGGUCCCCAUCUAAGUGCCCUGGAACGGGACGUCAUAGAGGGUGAGAAUCCCGUAUGGGAUGGGGUGUCCGCGCCCGUGUGAAGCUCCUUCGACGAGUCGAGUUGUUUGGGAAUGCAGCUCUAAAUGGGUGGUAAAUUUCAUCUAAAGCUAAAUAUUGGCCGGAGACCGAUAGCGCACAAGUAGAGUGAUCGAAAGAUGAAAAGCACUUUGAAAAGAGAGUUAAAAAGCACGUGAAAUUGUUGAAAGGGAAGCGCUUGCGACCAGACUCGCUCGCGGGGUUCAGCCGGCAUUCGUGCCGGUGUAUUUCCCCGCGGGCGGGCCAGCGUCGGUUUGGGCGGUCGGUCAAAGGCCCUCGGAAGGUAACGCCCCUAGGGGCGUCUUAUAGCCGAGGGUGCAAUGCGACCUGCCUAGACCGAGGAACGCGCUUCGGCUCGGACGCUGGCAUAAUGGUCGUAAGCGACCCGUCUUAACCAC
rnacentral:rRNA from 1 species